rnacentral:rRNA from 1 species
CUACGGGUUGCUGCAGUGAGGAAUAUUGCACAAUGGGGGGAACCCUGAUGCAGCAACGCCGCGUGGAGGAUGACGCAUUUCGGUGUGUAAACUCCUUUUAUAUGUCAAGAAAAUGACGGUAGCAUAUGAAUAAGCACCGGCUAACUCCGUGCCAGCAGCCGCGGUAAUAGGGAGGGUGCAAGCGUUACUCGGAAUCACUGGGCGUAAAGGACGCGUAGGCGAGUUGGAAAGUCAGGUGUGAAAUCCUACAGCUUAACUGUAGAACUGCACUUGAAACUUCUAAUCUAGAGUAUGGGAGGGGGAGAUGGAAUUAGUGGUGUAGGGGUAAAAUCCGUAGAUAUCACUAGGAAUACCUAAAGCGAAGGCGAUCUCCUGGAACAUUACUGACGCUAAGGCGUGAAAGCGUGGGGAGCAAACAGGAUUAGAUACCCCGGUAGUC